rnacentral:misc_RNA from 1 species
GAUGAAUAACGUAGCGAAAUGCGAUAAGUAGUGUGAAUUGCAGAAUUCAGUGAAUCAUCGAAUCUUUGAACGCACAUUGCGCCCUUUGGUAUUCCUUAGGGCAUGCCUGUUCGAGCGUCAUUUCAACCCUCAAGCCCUGCUUGGUGUUGGGCGUUUGUCCUGCCUCCGCGCGGGACUCGCCUCAAAGACAUUGGCGGCCGGUUUCCCUUUGCAGGCCACGAGCGCAGCACAGCGAGCGCUCUACGUGGACGCGGGGUCGGCGCACCAGAAGCCCUCUUUCUCGAAUUUUGACCUCGGAUCAGGUAGGGAUACCCGCUGAACUUAAGCAUAUCAAUAAGCGGAGGA